rnacentral:lncRNA from 1 species
UUAUAGAACUCAGUCCAAACUGUAUCAUAUAUUGAAGGAAACAAAAACAUGUGAUAUGACAAAUAAGUAGUAUACAAAGUCUGAGAUAUAACAUGCGGAUGAAGAAUCUGCCCAACUGCUACAUUAUCUUUAUCUCCGUCAACUCUUCCAGCAACAACUGCUAAAUCAUCUACAUCGGCCACAUCUGUCCGAAAAAAGGGUGUUUUUCUCCCAUGGUCCCCAGUUUACGGUAAUUUGGGACAAAACUAUGCUCCACAUUCAAAGAUCCGCAAAGAAGGAGGAGUGUUACUCUUUCGGUCUCCACAGGAUGCAAUCUGCUAUGUCAGCCGGUGGAACUUACUAACUAUCAGAAAUAUUUGUCUUCAGAGGAAGAUUGGGAAAAGAUACAAGCCACUAAGGAGAGUAUUUGUUGAACAAUGUCAUGCACAACUAUAAUAGUACAUUGUUUACUUCCUUUGUUAUUUCAUUUGUUUUUGACUAAAAAUAUCUUGAGUUUGCCCUUUUUAUUUUCUAGGCCAACUUUCUUGCUUCUGUGGGUCUCGAAAAGUUAAUUCGGGAAAAGGAAGAACUUACCUCUGCAUGGGAACAACUUUAAUCCGAGAAGGAGCAUACUAUUGCUCACCUCUCACAUUGGAAGCCAAAGCUACUGAGGCCGUUAUAUUGGAGAUUUGUUUGUAGCAAGAAAAAAAAACAAAUAAGUGGUCACCCUUCCCAAGAGAUUGGCCCGUUGAGGGUUAAAUGUGGCAAAUCUAGGACCAAAUGGGUUGAGGUCCAUAAUAUCGUUCUUGUUUCAACCCAAUGCGAGGCAGCCUCUGAUGAAAGAUUUGUUAAAGCUAGUUAAUGAUUAAAGCUAGCUAAGUUGGUGUGAAUGAGAAAUGG